rnacentral:lncRNA from 1 species
CAAAGACCUUCCGCACCAAGACCUCGUUUCUGGCAGUCAUGUCUCCUCUGAAAUAGGUGGCAGUUCACUUUCACAAUUUUUAAACUGGUCAGAGACACGGCCGCAAGCCCCUCCUGUCCACAUGCCCAGAGUUUAGAGACACCAAGGUCUCAGCAUCACCUAGAACCUCUGAGAAGUCAUCUCUUGAUCCCCUUGACACCAGGACUUCAGAGAUGCCCGGUUUCAAAAGAAGACAAGCAAGGGGGAUUCCUCAGUCAACACCCAUUUUCCCCUCUCUCCCUUGCCCACCGAAAGUGAUUUAUAAGCACAGCAGAAAUCAAAACAAACAAGCCAUGCUUGGAAAACGAGGAUCCACAUGUGUAAAUAAACGGGAACUACAGCUCAAAGGCAGUCAUACACUUGUCAUUCUUGUUUCUUCCUCUCAUGACAUGGAAAGG